UACGUAGGGUGCAAGCGUUAUUCGGAAUUACUGGGCGUAAAGCGUGCGCAGGCGGUUUUGUAAGUCUGUCGUGAAAUCCCCGGGCUCAACCUGGGAAUUGCAUUUGAGACUGCAAGGCUAGAAUCUGGCGGAGGGGGGUAGAAUUCCACGUGUAGCAGUGAAAUGCGUAGAGAUGUGGAGGAACACCGAUGGCGAAGGCAGCCCCCUGGGUCAAGAUUGACGCUCAUGCACGAAAGCGUGGGGAGCAAACAGG
rnacentral:rRNA from 1 species